ACUUUGACCUUACUUGUGUAGGAUAGGUGGGAGGCUUUGAAGUUGGAACGCUAGUUCCAAUGGAGCCGUCCUUGAAAUACCACCCUGGUAAUGUUGAGGUUCUAACUCUGUCCCGUUAUCCGGGACGAGGACCGUGUCUGGUGGGUAGUUUGACUGGGGCGGUCUCCUCCUAAAGAGUAACGGAGGAGUACGAAGGUGCGCUCAGCGUGGUCGGAAAUCACGCGUAGAGUAUAAAGGCAAAAGCGCGCUUAACUGCGAGACCCACAAGUCGAGCGGGUACGAAAGUAGGUCUUAGUGAUCCGGUGGUUCUGUAUGGAAGGGCCAUCGCUCAACGGAUAAAAGGUACUCUAGGGAUAACAGGCUGAA
rnacentral:rRNA from 1 species